rnacentral:rRNA from 1 species
GAGACAGUUCGGUCCUUAUCCACUGUGGGCGGAGGAAACUUGAGGGGUUCAUUCCUUAGUACGAGAGGACCGGGAAUGACGCACUUCUGGUGUGGCAGUUGUCGUGUCAACGGCAUCGCUGCGUAGCCACGUGCGGAAAG